GGCGAUGUGGCUCAGUUGGUAGAGUGCUUGCCUGACAUGCAUGAAGUCCUGGGUUUGAUGCCCAGCACCA
rfam:Neotoma lepida isolate 417 scaffold_1040, whole genome shotgun sequence.